rnacentral:rRNA from 1 species
AACAAGGUCUCCGUUGGUGAACCAGCGGAGGGAUCAUUAUCGAGUUAUUCAACUCCCAAACCCUAUGUGAACUUAUCACUUGUUGCUUCGGCGCGCGCUUCGGCGCCGCCGAGGACACUUAAACUCUUUGUUUUUAUAAGCAUUUCUGAGUGGCCGAAAGGCAAAAAUACAAAUGGAUCAAAACUUUCAACAACGGAUCUCUUGGUUCUGGCAUCGAUGAAGAACGCAGCGAAAUGCGAUAAGUAAUGUGAAUUGCAGAAUUCAGUGAAUCAUCGAAUCUUUGAACGCACAUUGCGCCCGCCAGCAUUCUGGCGGGCAUGCCUGUUCGAGCGUCAUUUCAACCCUCGAGCCCGACUCUUUUGAGGACGGCUCGGCGUUGGGGGACGGCAGACUCCCCCCGGCAUCUCGCCGGGGACGCCGCCCCCGAAAUCUAGUGGCGGCCCUCCGAGGCGACCUCUGCGUAGUAACUUGUUCUCGCACCGGAAAGCUCAGAGCGGCCACGCCGUAAAACCCCAACUUUUUUCAGGUUGACCUCGAAUCAGGUAGGACUACCCGCUGAACUUAAGCAUAUCAAUA